UUAAGCGACUAAGCGUACACGGUGGAUGCCCUGGCAGUCAGAGGCGAUGAAGGACGUGCUAAUCUGCGAAAAGCGACGGCGAGGUGAUAUGAACCCCUGACCCGUCGAUGUCCGAAUGGGGAAACCCAGUGUGAUUCGUCACACUAUCGUUAACUGAAUACAUAGGUUAACGAGGCGAACCGGGGGAACUGAAACAUCUAAGUACCCCGAGGAAAAGAAAUCAACCGAGAUUCCCCCAGUAGCGGCGAGCGAACGGGGAGCAGCCCGGAGUCUGAAUCAGCUUGUGUGUUAGUGGAAGCGUCUGGAAAGUCGCACGGUACAGGGUGACAGUCCCGUACACGAAAAUGCACAGGUUGUGAACUCGAAGAGUAGGGCGGGACACGUGGUAUCCUGUCUGAAUAUGGGGGGACCAUCCUCCAAGGCUAAAUACUCCUGACUGACCGAUAGUGAACCAGUACCGUGAGGGAAAGGCGAAAAGAACCCCGGCGAGGGGAGUGAAAAAGAACCUGAAACCGUGUACGUACAAGCAGUGGGAGCACCUUCGGGUGUGACUGCGUACCUUUUGUAUAAUGGGUCAGCGACUUAUAUUCUGUAGCAAGGUUAACCGUAUAGGGGAGCCGAAGGGAAACCGAGUCUUAACUGGGCGUUAAGUUGCAGGGUAUAGACCCGAAACCCGGUGAUCUAGCCAUGGGCAGGUUGAAGGUUGGGUAACACUAACUGGAGGACCGAACCGACUAAUGUUGAAAAAUUAGCGGAUGACCUGUGGCUGGGGGUGAAAGGCCAAUCAAACCGGGAGAUAGCUGGUUCUCCCCGAAAGCUAUUUAGGUAGCGCCUCGUGAACUCAUCUUCGGGGGUAGAGCACUGUUUCGGCUAGGGGGCCAUCCCGGCUUACCAACCCGAUGCAAACUACGAAUACCGAAGAAUGUUAUCACGGGAGACACACGGCGGGUGCUAACGUCCGUCGUGAAGAGGGAAACAACCCAGACCGCCAGCUAAGGUCCCAAAGUCAUGGUUAAGUGGGAAACGAUGUGGGAAGGCACAGACAGCCAGGAUGUUGGCUUAGAAGCAGCCAUCAUUUAAAGAAAGCGUAAUAGCUCACUGGUCGAGUCGGCCUGCGCGGAAGAUGUAACGGGGCUAAACCAUGCACCGAAGCUGCGGCAGCGACACUAUGUGUUGUUGGGUAGGGGAGCGUUCUGUAAGCCGUUGAAGGUGUGCUGUGAGGCAUGCUGGAGGUAUCAGAAGUGCGAAUGCUGACAUAAGUAACGAUAAAGCGGGUGAAAAGCCCGCUCGCCGGAAGACCAAGGGUUCCUGUCCAACGUUAAUCGGGGCAGGGUGAGUCGACCCCUAAGGCGAGGCCGAAAGGCGUAGUCGAUGGGAAACAGGUUAAUAUUCCUGUACUUGGUGUUACUGCGAAGGGGGGACGGAGAAGGCUAUGUCAGCCGGGCGACGGUUGUCCCGGUUUAAGCGUGUAGGUGUGUGUUCCAGGCAAAUCCGGUUCACUUUAACACUGAGGCGUGAUGACGAGGCACUACGGUGCUGAAGUGAUAAAUGCCCUGCUUCCAGGAAAAGCCUCUAAGCAUCAGGUAACACGAAAUCGUACCCCAAACCGACACAGGUGGUCAGGUAGAGAAUACCAAGGCGCUUGAGAGAACUCGGGUGAAGGAACUAGGCAAAAUGGUGCCGUAACUUCGGGAGAAGGCACGCUGAUAUGUAGGUGAAGUCCCUGCGGACGGAGCUGAAAUCAGUCGAAGAUACCAGCUGGCUGCAACUGUUUAUUAAAAACACAGCACUGUGCAAACACGAAAGUGGACGUAUACGGUGUGACGCCUGCCCGGUGCCGGAAGGUUAAUUGAUGGGGUUAGCGGCAACGCGAAGCUCUUGAUCGAAGCCCCGGUAAACGGCGGCCGUAACUAUAACGGUCCUAAGGUAGCGAAAUUCCUUGUCGGGUAAGUUCCGACCUGCACGAAUGGCGUAAUGAUGGCCAGGCUGUCUCCACCCGAGACUCAGUGAAAUUGAACUCGCUGUGAAGAUGCAGUGUACCCGCGGCAAGACGGAAAGACCCCGUGAACCUUUACUAUAGCUUGACACUGAACACUGGUCCUUGAUGUGUAGGAUAGGUGGGAGGCUUUGAAGCGUGGACGCCAGUCUGCGUGGAGCCGUCCUUGAAAUACCACCCUUUAAUGGCUGGUGUUCUAACGUGGACCCGUAAUCCGGGUUGCGGACAGUGUCUGGUGGGUAGUUUGACUGGGGCGGUCUCCUCCCAAAGAGUAACGGAGGAGCACGAAGGUUAGCUAAUCCUGGUCGGACAUCAGGAGGUUAGUGCAAUGGCAUAAGCUAGCUUGACUGCGAGAGUGACGGCUCGAGCAGGUGCGAAAGCAGGUCAUAGUGAUCCGGUGGUUCUGAAUGGAAGGGCCAUCGCUCAACGGAUAAAAGGUACUCCGGGGAUAACAGGCUGAUACCGCCCAAGAGUUCAUAUCGACGGCGGUGUUUGGCACCUCGAUGUCGGCUCAUCACAUCCUGGGGCUGAAGUAGGUCCCAAGGGUAUGGCUGUUCGCCAUUUAAAGUGGUACGCGAGCUGGGUUUAGAACGUCGUGAGACAGUUCGGUCCCUAUCUGCCGUGGGCGCUGGAGAAUUGAGGGGGGCUGCUCCUAGUACGAGAGGACCGGAGUGGACGCAUCACUGGUGUUCGGGUUGUCAUGCCAAUGGCACUGCCCGGUAGCUAAAUGCGGAAGAGAUAAGUGCUGAAAGCAUCUAAGCACGAAACUUGCCCCGAGAUGAGUUCUCCCUGAGACUUUAAGUCUCCUGAAGGAACGUUGAAGACGACGACGUUGAUAGGCCGGGUGUGUAAGCGCAGCGAUGCGUUGAGCUAACCGGUACUAAUGAACCGUGAGGCUUAACCUU
rnacentral:rRNA from 1 species